rnacentral:SRP_RNA from 1 species
GAAGGCUGGCGGUGGACGGAUUCCUCGCCAACUUGGUCAGGGCCGGAAGGCAGCAGCCAUAACGGGUUCUGUCCGGGUCAUCGUCGGUCUUCCAC